rnacentral:rRNA from 1 species
CGUAAUCAACAGCCAAUUAAUUGUUGGCCAGUAUGAAUGGCGCCACGAAGGCCCCGCUGUCCCAAGGAAAUUCCCAGUGAAAUUGAAUUCUUAGUGAAGAUGCUACGACCAACUUGCCAAACGAAAAGACCCCGUCAAGCUUUACUGGCGGCUUGCAUUGCCCGGCCCCCCCCCCCCACCUGUGGUGGGGGGGGGCCGUAAAACCAUGGGCGGCUCAGACCAUGUGGUGACAGAGCCCCCCCGUAUGGGGGCGAUGAGAACCCACUCCCCCAAUGUCGAAGGGGCUAACCCCCCCCUCCCCUGGGGGGGGGACAGUGCAAGCAGGACAGUUUGGUUGGGGCGACCGCCUUUUAAAGGGUAACGAAGGCGCACUUAAGGUCCCGCGGGCAAUAGCGGUGGCCUGACUGCGAGGGGGGUGCGCCCCGAGCAGACACCCGGGGCCCCCCGGGGUUUUGGGGGGCCGGCCGGGUGGGUUAUAGUGACCCGUUAUUUUAUUGUGGGAUAGUUACCGAUCAACGGAUAAAAGUUACCGCGGGGAUAACAGCGUAAU